rnacentral:rRNA from 1 species
GACGUAGGGGGGCGAGCGUUGUCCGGAAUCAUUGGGCGUAAAGAGCGUGUAGGCGGUCCGGUAAGUCCGCUGUGAAAGUCGGGGGGCUCAACCCUCGAAUGCCGGUGGAUACUGUCGGGCUAGAGUGCGGAAGAGGCGAGUGGAAGUUCCUGGGUGUACGCGGUGAAAUGCGCAGAUAUCGAGGAGGAACGACCUAGUUGCGAAGGCAGCUCGCUGGGACGUAACUGACGCUGAGACGCGAAAGCGUGGGGAGCAAACAGGAUUGAGAA